UCAGGCUCUCUUAGGUAUUGGGCUGUGCAACUGGUCAGGUUUGAAAAAAAGCAGCCAACGCAGUUUUUGUACGCUUCAUAGAGGGCCGACUUG
rnacentral:SRP_RNA from 1 species